AUUGAGCGCUGGCGGCAUGCUUUACACAUGCAAGUCGAACGGUAACAGGGAGCUUGCUCCGCUGACGAGUGGCGAACGGGUGAGUAAUGCGUCGGAACGUGCCGAGUAGUGGGGGAUAACGCAUCGAAAGGUGUGCUAAUACCGCAUACGUACUGAGGUAGAAAGUGGGGGACCUUCCGGCCUCACGCUAUUCGAGAGGCCGACGUCUGAUUAGCUAGUUGGUGAGGUAAAGGCUCACCAAGGCGACGAUCAGUAGCGGGUCUGAGAGGAUGAUCCGCCACACUGGGACUGAGACACGGCCCAGACUCCUACGGGAGGCAGCAGUGGGGAAUUUUGGACAAUGGGCGCAAGCCUGAUCCAGCCAUGCCGCGUGUCUGAAGAAGGCCUUCGGGUUGUAAAGGACUUUUGUCCGGAGCAAAUGCCUGGUGUUAAUAGCACUGGGAGCUGAGAGUACCGGAAGAAUAAGCACCGGCUAACUACGUGCCAGCCGCCGCGGUAAAAC
rnacentral:rRNA from 1 species